UCAAAUUAGAUUCUUCUAUUUUCUUUCAAUACACACCUAUCAUUUUUCAAAUAGUACCAAAUUACCCUUAUCUUCUCCAGCAAAGCCCUAACCCCAAGAACCUUCACCACCGGCCGCCGACAGCCAGUGGCCACCCCUUAUCCUCCGGCGUCCACCCCUCUAUGGCCUCAUUCCCCUCCUGCCAAUCUCACUGACCCUCCCUAGCCCUUACCGCCACAACCACCACUUACCAACCCUUCUCCCUAGCUCCAUCACACCACCCACUAACCCUUCUCCCUUUCUCCGUCUCGUCUCUCCCAACUCCGUCGUACGCCGUUCUCUGCCCUUCCGCAACCCCCUCUCUCUCUCUUCUUCUUCUUCUUCUUCUUCUUUGUUUAUUCAAACUCUAGAUCUAGAAACCCAAACCCUAAAUAUCUCUCUCUCUCUCUCUCUCAAUUCAACACCGAGUUGUAGUGGUAGUUGAAGACAGAGAAAAGAGAGAGAGACACACAAAGAAGAGAAAGAUGAAGAGACGUGAAGAAGAAGAAUAAAGGAGAUGAACCAUGACAGGAAUUGGUGAGGUGGCGAUUAGCGAAGUCAGGGGCUAAGAAGGCUACAGUUGUUGGAGUUAGGGGUUGGAGAGACGACAUUGCCGAAGUCGAAGAUUUCUCUUUAAUGUUGAAGCCAUCUGCUAAUACUGGAUGUGAUAUGGUACCUGCGGCUGAAGCAAAUGAAGUGAAGCUGAAGUAUAUAUUUUCUAGUUUUCGUGCUGCUGUAGUGACAUCAGACUUCCUCAUAUUUUGUGAAUCUUGCACAAAAGACUAACCUUCUAGAUACUCCAGCCUUCUUCUUUCUUUUUUUUUUGUUGGCUGAGAUCUAGAGUAGUUAGGUGCCUACUUUUAUGUUUUUGGAGUAGUGGCCAAUGAAUUUGCAUAGAUGGCUGCAGGGCAGCCCUCAGAUUUGUGGGGCUUAA